GCCCGCCUAGCUCAAUCGGAUAGAGCGUCAGACUCUUAUAGCGGGCGUGUGGUCGCGCUACGACUACAAUCUGAAGGCUGCGAGUUCGACCCUCGCGGUGGGCU